AAGCGAAACAAGGAUCGUUUCAGGUGGGAGAGGGUUCAGAGAUUCCAUUUUCUUAAGAUAGUGUGUUGUGUCUUGUAUAUAGGAUGGUAAAUUUUCUACAUGUGGUCUCAGAUGAAAGUCAAUAAAUUCUGAUAUUUUCUCUGUAGGGUGGUCAUUGGCGGAAACAAUUGGUCUACCGGGAUUAUUAACUUUAUGAAUUUUAGGCAGAAG
rnacentral:lncRNA from 1 species